AAAUCGUCUCUCCUCUCUAUCUCACAGUUCCGAUAAGGACACAAAACUUCCAGAGAGAGAGAACGAAAUCCUCAGAAAUGGAUCAAUUUCGCUGCGAAUCAUCAGAUCCGUGGCCGCUCUCUCUCCAAGAGGUCCCAGAGACCGAAGCAUCGGAGAGUGUUCUAGUGUUUGAUGAAGCAUCAGAGGCGGGAAUCGACACAACCUGGGCCGAGAUCGCUAGUCGUAACCGACGGAGCGACGGCGAGAGGGCGAAGAAGCUGGAGAAGAAGAAGAGCCAGGUUUUGCUCGAGGGUUACGUGGAGGCCUUGGCCGCGGACGACGACGACGACGAUCUGAGGAGGACCAAGAGCUUGACUGAUGACCAUCUCGAGGAGCUCAAAGGUUGUCUGGAUCUAGGGUUUGGGUUCAGCUACGACGAGAUCCCUGAGCUCUGCAACACUUUGCCGGCCCUAGAAUUGUGCUACUCCAUGAGCCAGAAGUUCUUAGGUGAGAAGCAAAGCCAUCAGAAGUCGCCGGAAAAUUCCCCGGUGGAGGAGUCUCGGCCGCCUCCACUAGCUGCGGCUAGCCCGGUUGCUAAUUGGAAGAUCUCUAGCCCUGGUGAUCAUCCCGAUGACGUGAAAGCUAGGCUCAAAUACUGGGCACAAGCUGUGGCCUGCACUGUCAAAUUGUGCAGUUGAACAAAACCUCAUUCCUCAUGUCCGACCUAAUUGGUUGAGCCAGAAAGUCCAAUGCAGGAAUGAAAUCUCUGCCAUUGCAGAGCCGAGACAAGACCUGCUUUUUCGGUUCACCAAUAACAGGUCUCCAAUGAAGUUGAAUCGUCGAGGAAACUGUCCGAUAGAGGAUUUGCAGUGGUGAGAGCUGUCUUAGAGAGCUUCACCAACUAGUCAUGGACCUCUGUGUUUGGCCGAGGUAACUAAUCUAACUAUCUGGGUCCAUUAGAUUGGCCAUGAUGAGCGUGUUGAUAUGAUUCUUACAUGUCUGCUAACUGAUUUAACUGACAGAAGUAACCAAAGAGUUUGAUUGUAUGAUCAUCCAAUGGUAUCUUCUUGGGGUUUCAGACAACUUUUGCUUGGAUUACGGCCAAGCUGUGUGUCUGAUGCUUUGAGUUCCUUUUCCACCAAGGAAGGAACAUUCUACAAGAGACGUCUUUGAAUUGGAAACUUCACUUUGUUCGUUGUGACAGCUGCGUAUCACGUGCCGUGUAAGACAGGCAAAUACGGCCGAAGCUUUUGUUACUAAUUUUUCCACGUUCAAUAAUUGGGUCGGUCCACGUUACAAUAUAGGUUUGGACCAACCAAACUGUUUUUGGAUU